CUUGAUCAUCUCUAUCCAAAACAGGGGAUCUCUGCUGUAACGUGACAUUUUCUAACGCUCCCAUAGGCUUUCAGAAGGCACCAGAACGUUGAAUGAUGACUUUGCAGGCCAUGGUUGAAAAACAGUAGCACAUUUGGUAAGUGGUCGAUCUGAGAACAAUGAGACUGGUGCGCGCGUGCACGAGACGACUCCAUGUUUUCAUUUUCAGUCUUUGAACGAAAACAACGACUCUCGGAAUAUUAUCGCUUUUUUGCGAGAAAAAUUACAUAAAAUUGAUUUUAAACAGAGUUUGACAUGCUUCUAAGUACGGUAAUGGAAUAUUUUGAAAAUUUUUGUCACGAAAUGCGCCGGGCACGUCACCCUUCGUUACCCUUCGGAUAGUGUCUUGAACGCACAACAAAACGCCGCAAUUUGGAUAUAACUAUGGAUUAUUUGGAACCAAACCAACAUUUGUUAUUGAAGUAGAAGUCCUGGGAGUGCAUUCUGACGAAGAAGAGCAAAGAUUGGAAUGUCUGCAGUGCAAGGUGUUCUACAGUGGAUGGACAAAGAGACGCCUUCAAGACCGCUUAGCAGAACACAAGUAUGCCAUACGGGUAGGCAAUGAAGACUACCCGUAUGGCAAGGCACUACAAGUCCUUAAACAUUUACAUUUACAUUUACGUCAUUUAGCAGACGCUCUUAUCCAGAGCGACUUACAAAUUGGUGCAUUCACCUUAUGAUAUCCAGUGGAACAACCACUUUACAAUAGUACAUCUAUAUCCUUUUUUUUUGGGGGGGGGGGGUUAAAAGGAUUACUAUAUCCUAUCCCAGGUAUUCCUUAAAGAGGUGGGGUUUCAGGUGUCUACGGAAGGUGGUGAUUGACUCCGCUGUCCUGGCGUCGUGAGGGAGCUUGUUCCACUAUUGGGGUGCCAGAGUAGCGAACAGUUUUGACUGGGCUGAGGGGGAACUGUGCUUCCGCAGAGGUAGGGGGGCCAGCAGGCCAGAGGUGGAUGAACGCAGUGCCCUUGUUUGGGUGUAGGGCCUGAUCAGAGCCUGAAGGUACGGAGGUGCCUUUCCCCUCACAGCUCCGUAGGCAAGCACCAUGGUCUUGAAGCAGAUGCGAGCUUCAACUGGAAGCCAGUGGAGUGUGCGGAGGAGCGGGGUGAUGUGAGAGAACUUGGGAAGGUUGAACACCAGACGGGCUGCGGCGUUCUGGAUGAGUUGUAGGGGUUUAAUGGCACAGGCAGGGAGCCCCGCCAACAGGGAGUUGCAGUAAUCCAGACGGGAGAUGACAAGUGCCUGGAUUAGGACCUGCGCCGCUUCCUGUGUAAGGCAGGGUCAUACUCUGCGAAU
rnacentral:lncRNA from 1 species